rnacentral:rRNA from 1 species
AGAGUUUGAUCCUGGCUCAGAAUGAACGUUGGCGGCGUGGAUUAGGCAUGCAAGUCGAGGGAGAACCCGCAAGGGGGACACCGGCGAACGGGGUAGGAUCACGUAGGUGACGUACCCCCAGGGCGAGGAUAGCCACGGGAAACUGUGGGUAAUACUCGAUAAUCUUCCUGUUUUUGAACAGAUGGGAAGCAAUGGGUGUGAUUCCACCUGGGGAGCGGCUUACGCAGUAUCAGCUAGUUGGUGAGGUAACGGCUCACCAAGGCUUUGACGCUUAGGGGGUGUGAGAGCAUGGCCCCCACCACUGGCACUGAGACACUGGCCAGACACCUACGGGUGGCUGCAGUCGAGAAUCUUCGGCAAUGGACGAAAGUCUGACCGAGCGACGCCGCGUGCGGGAUGAAGGUCUUCGGAUUGUAAACCGCUGUCAGAGGGGAUGAAGUAUACGAGAGCAAUCUCUUGUAUUUGACAGAGCCUCAGAGGAAGCACGGGCUAAGUUCGUGCCAGCAGCCGCGGUAAUACGAACUGUGCGAACGUUAUUCGGAAUCACUGGGCUUAAAGGGUGCGUAGGCGGUUAUCUAAGUCACGUGUGAAAUCUUCCGGCUCAACCGGAAAACUGCGCGUGAAACUAGAAGACUUGAGUGAGGUAGGGGUGUGUGGAACUUCCGGUGGAGCGGUGAAAUGUGUAGAGAUCGGAAGGAACGCCAGCAGCGAAAGCGGCACACUGGGCCUUUUCUGACGCUGAGGCACGAAAGCUAGGGGAGUGAACGGGAUUAGAUACCCCGGUAGUCC